rnacentral:rRNA from 1 species
UACGGGGGAGCAAGCGUUGUUCGGAUUUACUGGGCGUAAAGGGCGCGUAGGCGGCCAGCACAAGUCAGUUGUGAAAUCUCCGAGCUUAACUCGGAAAGGUCAACUGAUACUGUGCGGCUAGAGUGCAGAAGGGGCAACUGGAAUUCUUGGUGUAGCGGUGAAAUGCGUAGAUAGUCAAGAGGAACACCGGUGGCGAAGGCGGGUCUCUGGGCCGGUAA